rnacentral:rRNA from 1 species
GAUGAACGCUGGCGGCGUGCCUAAUACAUGCAAGUCGAGCGAACAGACGAGGAGCUUGCUCCUCUGACGUUAGCGGCGGACGGGUGAGUAACACGUGGAUAACCUACCUAUAAGACUGGGAUAACUUCGGGAAACCGGAGCUAAUACCGGAUAAUAUAUUGAACCGCAUGGUUCAAUAGUGAAAGACGGUUUUGCUGUCACUUAUAGAUGGAUCCGCGCCGCAUUAGCUAGUUGGUAAGGUAACGGCUUACCAAGGCAACGAUGCGUAGCCGACCUGAGAGGGUGAACGGCCACACUGGAACUGAGACACGGUCCAGACUCCUACGGGAGGCAGCAGUAGGGAAUCUUCCGCAAUGGGCGAAAGCUUGACGGAGCAACGCGGCGUGAGUGAUGAAGGUCUUCGGAUCGUAAAACUCUGUUAUUAGGGAAAAACAAAUGUGUAAGUAACUAUGCACGUCUUGACGGUACCUAAUCAGAAAGCCACGGCUAACUACGUG